UACGUAGGGUGCAAGCGUUGUCCGGAAUUAUUGGGCGUAAAGAGCUCGUAGGCGGUUCGUCGCGUCGGCUGUGAAAUCCCGAGGCUCAACCUCGGGUCUGCAGUCGAUACGGGCGGACUGGAGUUCGGCAGGGGAGACUGGAAUUCCUGGUGUAGCGGUGAAAUGCGCAGAUAUCAGGAGGAACACCGGUGGCGAAGGCGGGUCUCUGGGCCGUUACUGACGCUGAGGAGCGAAAGCGUGGGGAGCAAACAGG
rnacentral:rRNA from 1 species